rnacentral:rRNA from 1 species
GGGUUGUGAGGUUAAGCGACUAAGCGUACACGGUGGAUGCCCUGGCAGUCAGAGGCGAUGAAGGACGUGCUAAUCUGCGAUAAGCGUCGGUAAGGUGAUAUGAACCGUUAUAACCGGCGAUUUCCGAAUGGGGAAACCCAGUGUGAUUCGUCACACUAUCAUUAACUGAAUCCAUAGGUUAAUGAGGCGAACCGGGGGAACUGAAACAUCUAAGUACCCCGAGGAAAAGAAAUCAACCGAGAUUCCCCCAGUAGCGGCGAGCGAACGGGGAGCAGCCCAGAGCCUGAAUCAGUGUGUGUGUUAGUGGAAGCGUCUGGAAAGGCGCGCGAUACAGGGUGACAGCCCCGUACACAAAAAUGCACAUGCUGUGAGCUCGAUGAGUAGGGCGGGACACGUGGUAUCCUGUCUGAAUAUGGGGGGACCAUCCUCCAAGGCUAAAUACUCCUGACUGACCGAUAGUGAACCAGUACCGUGAGGGAAAGGCGAAAAGAACCCCGGCGAGGGGAGUGAAAAAGAACCUGAAACCGUGUACGUACAAGCAGUGGGAGCACGCUUAGGCGUGUGACUGCGUACCUUUUGUAUAAUGGGUCAGCGACUUAUAUUCUGUAGCAAGGUUAACCGAAUAGGGGAGCCGAAGGGAAACCGAGUCUUAACUGGGCGUUAAGUUGCAGGGUAUAGACCCGAAACCCGGUGAUCUAGCCAUGGGCAGGUUGAAGGUUGGGUAACACUAACUGGAGGACCGAACCGACUAAUGUUGAAAAAUUAGCGGAUGACUUGUGGCUGGGGGUGAAAGGCCAAUCAAACCGGGAGAUAGCUGGUUCUCCCCGAAAGCUAUUUAGGUAGCGCCUCGUGAAUUCAUCUCCGGGGGUAGAGCACUGUUUCGGCAAGGGGGUCAUCCCGACUUACCAACCCGAUGCAAACUGCGAAUACCGGAGAAUGUUAUCACGGGAGACACACGGCGGGUGCUAACGUCCGUCGUGAAGAGGGAAACAACCCAGACCGCCAGCUAAGGUCCCAAAGUCAUGGUUAAGUGGGAAACGAUGUGGGAAGGCCCAGACAGCCAGGAUGUUGGCUUAGAAGCAGCCAUCAUUUAAAGAAAGCGUAAUAGCUCACUGGUCGAGUCGGCCUGCGCGGAAGAUGUAACGGGGCUAAACCAUGCACCGAAGCUGCGGCAGCGACGCUGGAUGCGUUGUUGGGUAGGGGAGCGUUCUGUAAGCCUGCGAAGGUGUGCUGUGAGGCAUGCUGGAGGUAUCAGAAGUGCGAAUGCUGACAUAAGUAACGAUAAAGCGGGUGAAAAGCCCGCUCGCCGGAAGACCAAGGGUUCCUGUCCAACGUUAAUCGGGGCAGGGUGAGUCGACCCCUAAGGCGAGGCCGAAAGGCGUAGUCGAUGGGAAACAGGUUAAUAUUCCUGUACUUGGUGUUACUGCGAAGGGGGGACGGAGAAGGCUAUGUUGGCCGGGCGACGGUUGUCCCGGUUUAAGCGUGUAGGCUGGUUUUCCAGGCAAAUCCGGAAAAUCAAGGCUGAGGCGUGAUGACGAGGCACUACGGUGCUGAAGCAACAAAUGCCCUGCUUCCAGGAAAAGCCUCUAAGCAUCAGGUAACAUCAAAUCGUACCCCAAACCGACACAGGUGGUCAGGUAGAGAAUACCAAGGCGCUUGAGAGAACUCGGG